GACGAACGCUGGCGGCGUGCUUAACACAUGCAAGUCGAACGGAAAGGCCCUGCUUUUGUUGGUUUCUCGAUUGGCGAACGGGUGAGUAACACGUGAGUAACCUCUCCUUGACUUUGUGAUAUCUUCAGGAAACUGGGGCUAAUACCGGAUAUGAGCUCCUGCUGCAUGGUGGUGGAUGGAAAGUUUCGGCGGUUGGGGAUGGACUCGCGGCUUCUCAGCCUGUUGGUGAGGUAGUGGAUUACCAAGGCUUUGACGGGUAGCCGGCCUGAGAGGGUGACCGGCGACAUUGGGACUGAGAGAGGGCCCAGACUCGUACGGGAGGCAGCAGUGGGGAGUAUUGCACAAUGGGCGGAAGCCUGAUGCAGCAACGCCGCGUGCGUGAUGACGGCCUUCGAGUUGUAAACCGCUUUCGCCUGUGACGAAGCGUGAGUGACGGUAAUGGGUAAAGAAGCACCGGCUAACUACGUG
rnacentral:rRNA from 1 species